rfam:Salmonella enterica subsp. enterica serovar Macclesfield str. S-1643 chromosome, complete genome.
UUACUCACUCAUAAUCAAGGGCUGCCGCAUGAAGUGGUAGAAAAGCAUAUUGCAGGCCAUGCGAUAAACCGUCUCACAAUUUGUGUGGUUAUUACUAUGCUUAUUGCUGUUGCCGUAAAUGUGCGGUGCGGGAGCCGCUGACGA